UACGAAGGGUGCAAGCGUUACUCGGAAUCACUGGGCGUAAAGCGUGCGUAGGCGGUUCGUUAAGUCUGCUGUGAAAGCCCUGGGCUCAACCUGGGAACUGCAGUGGAUACUGGCGAGCUAGAGUGCGGUAGAGGAUGGUGGAAUUCUCGGUGUAGAGGUGAAAUUCGUAGAUAUCGAGAGGAACACCGGUGGCGAAGGCGGCCAACUGGACGAAUACUGACGCUGAGACUCGAAAGCGUGGGGAGCAAACAGG
rnacentral:rRNA from 1 species